GAAAUGUAUGCCUCAGCUUACUAAGGGACAAAAGACAUUUUCUCCAAGUGAAGAACAGAUGUGAAAAUGACAAUAAUACACACGAGCUCUUGGAACAAAGGGAUCAUCUAGAUGAAGAAUAUUACGUGGUAAUAUUUCUGCCAUAGUUUAAUCCUGUAAUCCUUAUGUGAAGCUUUGAUUACAGAUUAAUGGGAUAUCAAUGAGGCCUUUAUCACUUGUGGUGCUGAGAUAAGAUUAAGUGACCUGCUCAUAGUCGUGGCAAAUCUCUGACAAGACUGAAGGUGACCCCAUGAUUCCUGACUCCUUGUUUACAUAAAUUUUCAGAUAUGAGGCAACCAAGAGCAGGCCUAAUUGCAGAUUUCCAUAUGGCAAAAGUCUUUCUUUGAAAAGGGCAUCAAAAGGAAAAGAUUAAAACACUCAGAACCACGUGGAAGAAAAAGGAAGCAACUACUUGGAGCAGAUCUGGCUUCAGGGGAACAGUGAGGCUGAGCCCUAGUCUGACACUGGCACUCCAAGAUAGUUUUCUGAUGGCACUGAGGAGCAUCUUGAUGCAAGUGUGAAGCCAGAAGUUUCCACACAUGAUGACUGAAAGCUGAAUCAGUAAGGAAGAAAAGUGAGAGAGAAGAGUUCCUUCACACUACAGAAUUUGUUUUUCAUCAUCCUCUGAUAGAUGAGAUUUUCCUUUGGCUUCUCCUGGAAAUCUCUGGCUCUAAGUACAUCAGAAUGGUCACCAAAGGUCCAGGACUUCUUGCAAACUAAGAAGAGAUUAAGAAAGAACAGUGAAC
rnacentral:lncRNA from 12 species